rnacentral:lncRNA from 1 species
GUGUGUGCUGAGCCAGGCUGUGGCCAGACAUUCCGGUUUGUAUCAGAUUUCAGUCGUCACAAGCGGAAGACCGGACAUUCUGCAAAGAAGAGCAGAGGGUAGUAAGUGUAAAGGAAGAAGAUUGCUUGUUAACAUUUGCUAAUGAACCUGUUGUUGAAAUUUAGAGGGUAGGGCUAAGAUAGGUUUAGGAUGUUCCUUGUCCUGUAACUGUCAAUUGUUAGUCAAUUGUCAUUCAGAGCAACUGUUAAAUUUGUGUUGCCCUGGGGCUUCAUUGGGCCAAUUUAUUUAUGAAUUGCUCGAAUCUUGAAGCAGAUUAACCUCUAUUCAAUUUCCCUUCAACAUCUCUUUAAUCUCUUUGAAUGAAAUUCUUUUCAAUACUGAAGAGAAUUUUUUGCAGUAUUUCAAUUUAUUCGCCGUAACAGAUUCCGUGUGUGUGCUUUUUGAUUUGUUUCAUGAUUUUUUUUUUUUAAUUUACAGCUUGAUAGCAAUAAUCGUUUCUUGUCUACGUUAUAAAAGAAUUAGACACCUGCGCUGAAAUUUGUAUGGAGCUAGGGGCAAUGCUAUUUACAAUUUAUGACUUACAAAAUUCUACAUAACGUUUGCACGUUAAAAAUUUUGAAAAGACAAAAAUGCACAUGACUCUUUUGUUUUUUCUUUUUAAAUAAGGACACGAUUUGUCUACAUCGGCAUCAAAUAGUUCUAUAAUUUCUGUCAAACAAUUAAAAUAUUCUUAAAUGCCUUUGACACAUAAUGUUUCAUAUAAUAGUAUUAGUAAAUUAUAUUAAAUUACAAUUUUCAACAUAAUCCAAGUCUUAGGAAAAUGGUUUCUUACCAUUAGAAUUAAAUCUUAAUUUAAAUAAUAUUAGGAUAAAAUAUUAGUAUAUAUACAAUAUAGUUUUUAUCAAUCAGAAUAUAUGAUACUAAAUGAUAUCUUUUUAUAAUUUUAUUCACAUGAAUAUGGACCUUACUCAAUUAAAUUAAAAAAUUUGCCGUCACUUCAAAAAUAUUGAAUAAUUAGGGACCCAAAAAAUAUAUAUAGUAAGAAAUAACACACAUUAUGAGUGUUCAUAAUUCAAUCUGAUCCGCUUAAUCUGUCUGAUCCGUAAAAAUUUAAUCUGUAAAAAUUCGAUUCAUGGAUUGGUGGAUUGGAUUUGAUUGAAAAUUUAAAAAUUCGUAGUCGAUGGAUUGUAUAUGGAUUUACUUCUGUAAAUCUGCAAAGAUUUGUGAAUCCGUAAAAAAAUAAAAAAAAUUAUUGAAUAAAAAAAUUUAAUUUGUAAAUAUGGGGGAUGUGGGAAGAAGUUUUUCUCACACAAAUACUUAGUGCAGCACCGUCGUGUUCAUUUGGAUGAUCGUCCCCUUAAAUGCCCCUGGAAGGGAUGCAAGAUGACUUUCAAGUGGGCAUGGGCGCGUACUGAGCACAUAAGGGUUCACACAGGUGCUCGACCUUAUGUGUGUGCUGAGCCAGGCUGUGGCCAGACAUUCCGGUUUGUAUCAGAUUUCAGUCGUCACAAGCGGAAGACCGGACAUUCUGCAAAGAAGAGCAGAGGGUAGUAAGUGUAAAGGAAGAAGAUUGCUUGUUAACAUUUGCUAAUGAACCUGUUGUUGAAAUUUAGAGGGUAGGGCUAAGAUAGGUUUAGGAUGUUCCUUGUCCUGUAACUGUCAAUUGUUAGUCAAUUGUCAUUCAGAGCAACUGUUAAAUUUGUGUUGCCCUGGGGCUUCAUUGGGCCAAUUUAUUUAUGAAUUGCUCGAAUCUUGAAGCAGAUUAACCUCUAUUCAAUUUCCCUUCAACAUCUCUUUAAUCUCUUUGAAUGAAAUUCUUUUCAAUACUGAAGAGAAUUUUUUGCAGUAUUUCAAUUUAUUCGCCGUAACAGAUUCCGUGUGUGUGCUUUUUGAUUUGUUUCAUGAUUUUUUUUUUUUAAUUUACAGCUUGAUAGCAAUAAUCG